rnacentral:lncRNA from 1 species
CCAUGAGUCAUGCGGGACACCUGGAAUUAUCCAUCACCUCUAGAUCUGGGAGAACUGAGGCUCAGAGAGGUUCCAGGGUCACACAGCCAACCUGGACCAGAGCUGUUGAUGGCCCAAGUCUCCUGACACUGGCCCAGGUCUCACUCCACAUGUUCCUGCUUCCCUCAGGGCCUGGCCCCAGGCUGGGCACACGAGGGACCUUCGGAGAUGCUUCUUGAAUGAGAUCAGGAAGUGCUGGCCCUGCCGUCAUGCCCUCGCCAAGAGCCCUGCCCUCCUUUCUCUUUCCAGUCUGGCUCAGCCCGGAGAGGAUUCUCCCGUGAGUUGGAGAAGUUAAAUACCUGCGCUCAAAACCUAGAGCGCAAGAGAGGAAAUACGGCCGCGGCUACCUCGCCCACUCGUGGAGUCCCACCCCGAGGCCCUAGACCUUCGGGGCUCAGCUAGCCCCUUGGAUUCCAAGGGAAAUCAGGAAUCACGGCAGUCCACUCCAUCGAUUUAAGAACGAGGAAACCAGGGGAGGUGUAACUUGUCCAAGGUCCUACAGAGCAGACGCGCUCAGAGAGGGGAAGAGACUUGCCCAAGGUCACAUAGCAAGUUUGAGCCAGAGCCCAGGCCAGCACACAGAUUGCCUGAGUGCCCUGCCAUCAGGGCCCCUGUAGGGCUUGGAAGAGGAAGAGGCUGAUGCAGGUGCCCAGUGCGACCAGCACAGAGAGCCCCCGGGACCUGGCUCUAGGAUGCUGACUGUGGGCAGGUUAACUGGGGGAAGACCCGCUGCCUCUCCAGGCAUGUACACUUCCUGUCUCUCAGGAGCCUGACGCCUGGAGAGGAGGAGGGAGUCGCUGCCAGGGCUCUGGAAACCCUGAGUAAUGGACAGGGGGGCCUCUGCCAGCUCCACCCGGGGAUGGCAGCUGCCCCCAGCAGGGAGCACCAACCACACACGUGGGAGGAACAGAUUGCUUAGACAGAUGCAGAAAGGCAGCCCAGAUUCUGAAACCGGUGGGAGAAUUGGGGCUCAGAAAAAACUAAAUAAUAGUAUAUUAUUCAUAAUAUAAUAUUUUAUUAUGUAUAAUAUAUUAUUACUACAUUGUAUUGAGCCCUUAGGAUGUGCCAGGCACUACUUCACAAUGUCUCGUGUAAUCCCCACAGCAAGCCUAGGAGGUGGAUAUUAAUAUUAUACCCACUUUCCAGAUGAAGAUACUGAGGCUUCAGGAGGUUCAGUCCCUUGCCCAAGGUUGCCAGGAAGGAAAGCUCACAAAAGAGGGUUUUUUUGGGGACUGGAAGACCUCUAGGUUUCCUUCUUCUUUCCUAACCCCAAGUUUUCAUACCAGCCCAGGCUUCCUCCUGCCUCCUCCCGGAUCUGCAGGCCGCCUUCCCCUCCUCCUCCCUCCUCCUGUUCUCAGUCUUCCCCAUCGCCUCCCCUUCUUCAAACCCUCGGCCCCUAAGGCUCAGAGGCUGAAGACACAGGGAUAGACUCUCCCUGACGCUGCACUUGGACCGCUAGCUGAGGAAGGUUAAAGAAAGCAGGUUUUGCAGCUCUUUGCAUAACAACAACAAAAAUUCUUUUCCCAAGAAAAGUGGUGUGCGCUCAGCAGUGCCUCCUCCAUGCACCUCUGAACACCCACCGCCCAAGACCAGGAGUCCCGGUUGUGGUUCAAGAGAAGGAAGGCAUUUCUAGUGGUUCAAGCUUAUUCGACAGCAGAGUGGGCAGCCUCUUGGGGCUCUGGGCCUCCCGUCACUGCAGAUGUCUCAGCACAGGCGGGAGGUCCCCUGUCCGAUGGUGGUGCCAAAGAAAUUCCUGGAUUCCCUUUCUCUUACUUGCUGAGAAAUCAAUUCCAGCCCUGGGAUUCCAGCUACAUUACCGCAAAAACAUCGGUCCUACUUGUAAUCAAAUUGGAUUCAGAGUUAGUGUGUACGUUUCUCGUCCAUCUCUGAAUAGAAAUCUAUCAAGGUGGCUGAUGUCAAGGGGAGGAGAAAGGACCCCUAGCUCUGUCAGGCGGGAGGACAGCGGCCUGGGGUGGGAAGGGAUACAUUGUGGUGGUAAUCUUGGGGUGGGCAGGGGGUUGAGAAAGGAAGGAAGACAUGGAAAAUGGCAUCUGGUGGAUUGUGGGGGCGCCUGCAGCAGAGGACUCUAGCAUGGGGAAGCAUUAGAGAAAGCCUGUUCCCAGAGUUCCAGGGGCCAAGCAGGGUCCCCAGGGGUCUCUCCCCCGUGGGGUUCAUCCCAGCCUUCUAGAUUUCCUGUCUUCAGCCUUGCUUCCCGCUCAAGCAGGGCCUUGAGAGGGUUAUGUUCAGGCGAGGAGCCCUCUUCCUCCAGCCCUGCACAGCCUGGACAUGGGUCUUUGGGCCCAGAGGUGUGUGAAGGAUGCCUCCUCCUGCCUAUGUCUCUGCCUAACGCCGGGUCCCAGCACCCUCCUUCCCAGAGCCUGUCACAAGAAUUAAGAAGUGGAGCGACGGCCUCAUCCCUCAGGGAAGGAAAGAGCUCCCCAAGUGAACCAAGGGCUCUCUCUGUGAGGCCUUCCGUGGCACAGGAUCGGGGGGAGAUUGGGGUGCAGUGGUCGUCCGGGGAGCCCUCCCAGGCCAGGCUUGGUGAAGCUACCGUGGCUUCUCAGGGUGUAGACCCAUGACUAUGAUGUCACAUGGGAUUUGGAGGCAUGGCUGGCACCUUGAGCUCAUUUCUUUUGGGACCUUGAAGGACUGAGACAGGAGGGCCUCGUGCCCUCAUGUCCCCACCCUGAAACCUCCUUUCCCCCAUAUGCUGCUCAGGCAAACAUACCCCUCCCCCACUUCUCCUACCCAAGAUAUGAAUGAUCCUUUCCCCCUUAGUAUUACCAUCACCGCCCUCAAACCCCGGUCCAUAACCAGUUGCAAUAUGUCAACCUAAUUUGAACCUGAUUCAAAUAAGCCGAAAGGAAGAUAUAUUUGUGAUACAAUUGAAAAUUUGGACACUGACUGGAUAUUUGUUGAUUUAAAGACAAUUUUUUAAUAAUGCUCUUUUUUUAGAACAGUUUUAGAUUUAUAGCAAAAUUAAGAAAAUAGUGCAGAAAGUUCCCACAUACCAUCCCUCCCCACCCAGUUUCCCCUAUUAUUAAUAUCUUCCAUUUGUAUAGAUACAUUUGACACAAUUAAUGAACCAAUUUUGAUACAUUAUUGUUAACUAAAGGCCAUAGUUUACUGAAAUUUCCUUAGUUUUUACUUAGUACCCUUUUUCUGCGCCAGGAUCCCCUCCAGGAUCCCACAUUACAUUUAGUUAUCCUGUCUCUUCAGGCUCUUCUCGGCUGGGACAGUUUCUUAGACUUUCCUUAUUUUCGAUGACCUUGGCAGUUUCGAGAAGUACCGGUCAGAUAUUUUGUAGAACGUCCCUCUAUUGGAAUUUGAUGUUUUUCUCAUGGUUAGACUGGGGUUUGGGGUUUGGGAGAGGAAGAUCACAGAGGUAAAGAGCCAUUCUCAUCACAUCCUGUCAGGGGUGCAUAGUAUCGGCAUGAUGUGUGACUGUUGACAUUGACCUUGAUCACCGGCCUGAGGUGGUGGUGGUCAGGUUCUCCACUGUAGUUACUCUUUCCCUCACUUUCCAUCUUCUUUGGAAGGAAGUCACUAUGGCCAGCCCACACUGAAGGGGUGGAAGCUAUGCUGCCCGCUCCCCAUUGAGGGCGGAGUAUCUACAUAAGUUAUUUAGAAUUCUUCUGCACGAGAGGUUUCUCUCUUCUCCCUCAUUUAUUUAUUUAUUCAAUUAUUUAUACCAGCAUGAACUCUGGGAUAUUUAUUUUAUACUUUGGGUAAUAAUCCCAUACUACCAUAUUUAUUUUGUUGCUCAGUUGUUCUAACUUUGGCCAGUGGAGCUAUGUCAGUUGGCUCGUGUGUCCCUUUGACAUAACCCCACCAGUGUGGGAUUUUUGUUUUCCCUUUGUUUAGCACUUCCAUACUUUCUGGCCCUGUAAGACACUCCAAGUUCAUCUGGCAUAUUUCCUGCCCAGUCCUGGAGUCAGCCAUUUCUCCAAGGAGCCCUGGUUUGUUUUCCUGGAGAAUGGUUCUGGAAGCCUAGAUCUGGGUGCUGGGUAUGCUCCUUGCUAGUGGGGUUAAAGAUUUAAUUUUAACUUUUUACAUGAUAAUGGUAUUGAAGUUAUUUUUUAAAAGAGUCUUUAUCUUUUUUUAGAUACCUAUAGAAUAUUUAUGGCUGAAAUGAUAUGUCUGCGAUUUGCUUCAAAAUAAUAUGGGAAGAGAUGGGACAAGAUUGGCCAUGCAUUGCGCAUUGUUGAGGCUGGGUGAUGGAAUACACAGGGGCUCUUUAUAGUGUUCUGUCUACUUAGUAUAUGUUUGAAAUGUCUGGAGUAAAAAUUUUAAAAUAAUAAAUCAAAACUCAGUCCCAAUCACCUCCUCUAGAAGCCCUUCUUGGUGACACUCUCUGGCCUGGCGUCUGCCCCUUCCUCCUGCUGGGUGUUUCCAUCCUUUCCGCGCUGGAGCGCUGCUCUAUAGGUGUCCUGGCCUCAGCUCACUGCCUGCCUGAGGACGGGGUGUCUCCUUGGAGCGGUGCACCACUGCAGGAGUCUGCAGGGGCUCCGCACCAGAGAGGGAGAGCAGCCCCCCCUAGCCGUGCCCAGGUGCUGCGGUGUGGCAGGCCCCAUGCCAGGCACCUUCACAGGUACAGUCCCAGCAAGUGGGCAUCAUUCUUACUCUGAGUUUAUGGAUGAGGAAACUGAGGCUAAGAGAACCAUUGAGUGCCCCUGACUGGGCAGCUUCCGACCCUUCUGAGCCCACCCUAGGGAGAAGGGAUCCAGGGUGCUAAAUGUCUCCAUCUGCCCUUCCACACCCACUCUCCAACCUUCUCCCCCCGCCUGUGCGCCCAGAGCCUGACCCUCUGGACUGCAUCACUCAGCUCUCCGUCUUCUGGCUCCCCG